rnacentral:lncRNA from 9 species
AUGGGCGCCCCGGGUCCAGGGCCCGCGGAGCCGCUCUCGGGGCGGAGACCUUGCCCCCAGGGGCACGUCAGCGGUCCUGAGGUGAGGCUCCUGCAGAGCACUCUGGGCCGCGUGUGUCUCUCCCUGCGUGGGCAGGCAGUGUCGGUGGCCGGAGCGAGGGUGUUUUCCCAUCGGGGUGAGAGGGAGAGCCCCAGGGUGGGCCUGGGGGCGGAAUCGGACUCGGGGUUGGGGUGGACUCUUCUGAAGCUGGGAGGGGUGCGGGUGGGCAGGGCCUUAGGGAGCCUGAGGGAGGCGCGGUUCCUGGGGGAAGGGUGUGGCGAGGCGGCGGCAGCCCGCGUGCGCUGUGGCGCCCCAGCGAAGGGGCAGUGCUGGCCACUCGUGUGGCCCUUUGGCUGCUGGCACCCAGUGAGAGGGGGGAGGCCAGGGACAGGUGGCAGCCAGGCUGCCCACAGGCCCUGGGCGGUGGGGGGCCCGGCCCCUGUGCCUUGGGCAGCCUGGCCCCUUGCUGAGGCGUGCUUGCGCGUGUCCGUUGUCGCCCUCACCCAGCUGCUGCGGCGGAGAGACGGAGGCCAGCGCGGGGAGCGGAAGCCGGAGCCUGUCGGGAGCGACCCCGGGAAGGCCAGUCCCUCCUGCCGGAGGGAGGCGUGUUGGCGUGCGGCCGGUGGCGGGAUCGAUGGCCACCUGGUAGGCGAUGCUGCUGCGGCGGAGAAACGGAGGCCAGCGCGGGGAGCGGAAGCCGGAGCCUGUCGGGAGCGACCCCGGGAAGGCCAGUCCCUCCUGCCGGAGGGUGGCGUGUUGGCGUGCGGCCGGUGGCGGGAUCGAUGGCCACCUGGUAGGCGUGCCAAGGUAGCCCCCGGGGCGCCGUGUGUGGCGCCCGGACCCGCACCCUCUGCUCCCGGGGGUGGAGCUGACCUGCUUGCCCGCGGUUGGGCCGGGAGGCUCCGGGACGCGUCCGGGAGGGAGCUGGCUGGCCGUCCCGGCGGUGGGGGCUGUGGCGGUGGCCGUCCCACGGGUGUGCCCGUGCUCGGAUCGAUGAUGACACCCACAAACGCAUUCCUUGGAAAAUCUGAACAAAAUGAGUGAGAACUCACUACCGUCUCCUCAUCGCAAACUGAGGUCCGGCACGUGGCUCCCACAGGGGACGUCGGGGGAGGGUCCCGUUGCCUUGGCUCCCUUGGGUGCGUGCAGCCCUGGGGCGCAGGUGGGGGCAGGCAGGCUCCGGUGGCCCGGGAGGGCCAUGGGGAGAGGAGCCUUGGGGCUGGCCUCCUCGGGGCAGCCCCGGGGCCCCGGGGCCCCGGUGCCCGGCGGGAAAGCCUUGGGAGUGGCAGGCCCAGUGUGGGGUGGGCUGCCUGCGGUGUGCGUGAGCUCCGCUGGGCUCUCAGGCCUGCGGCUGCCUCCGUGAGGCCUCUUUGGGGUCCUGCCCGCGGUGUCGGGCGCAGAGGCUGUCUGUAGGUUGCGGGUGAGCAGCGGGGGCCUUGGCCUCGGCGGGACUGCCGACCCAGGUUCUGGUGGGGAGAGAGGAGGCCGGCCGGGGGGCCUUGCCGAGAUGGCCGUUUGGGCGGGGUGGAUGCCUUUGCCUGCGUCUUCCCGGGUCGGCGGGGCUGCCAGUGCCUGUCCCUCGCAGAGUCCCUGGGGGGCAUCGGGAAGCCUGGAGCCCCUGCGGCAUUUCCCAGAGAGGUGGAGGCGGUGGGGCGCCAGGUGGCCCUGGGCGGUGCCGAGUCGGCCGCGGACUGGGGUCGAGAGAAGUGCGGGAGGGCCAGAGGUCCUGGGCCAGUGUGCGCACAGCACCGUGAGGGGGAGAGUUGGGUGCCCGGGGCGGCAGUGCCUUCAGGGCGGCCUGGGCUAUGAUGUGGGAUAUCCUCAGAGAUUUGGGCGGCGCGUGGAAGGCAGGACAGAGGGGUCCCGGGCACGUGAAUGGGCGCUGGGUGCCUGUGCCCUGGCCGGUCGUGGGUGCCCGCGGGCCAUAGAUGUGUGAGCCCGCGGCCAGCUCCCGGGGCCGCUAAGGUGUCCACACACGGGGCUGGGCGUUGAGGCCGUGCGGCGCCCCUGGCCUGGCUGAGGCCGUGUUCCCGGGGAGGGAGGACAGGGAGUUGCGCAGUGGGAGGCAGUGUGAGGUUGAUACCCAGCAGAGCUAGCCACGCCUGCGGACUGGAGCCCAGCCGAGCUGGUGCCGGGCGGGAGCUGGUGGCAAGGAGGGAGUCUGCUGUGGAGGAAAGGGGGCAGGCGGCGGCGGAAGGGGCGUGAGUUUCGGUGCGAGGGUCCCGCUGGGCCCAGGGCCUGGUGCGUCUCCCGUGGAGACGCUGGUGCUGGAGGUAGGGAGGCCUGGGUGUGCAUGGGUGUGCCACGCAAAGGAGAGGGUCCCAUGGGGCCCGGCGGGCCUUCCGGUGCUGGCGCCGGGGCUGUGGCGUGUGCCUUGCGUGGGGCCCGAGCGCCCAACUGGUGGCAGGUUCCGGGCGCCCGGCGGCAGGCGGUCUGGGCGGGUUACGUUGUGUCCGGUGGACAGGCAGCCGCCAUGGGGCGCGGUUUGGGCAGGCAGGCCUCCGGUGUCCCCAGAGUGCCCCGGGGAGACCUGCCUGGGGGACCCAGGCCCCUGCCCCAAGGGGCCUGGUGUGGCGGGCCUGGAGGGUGAAGGGCGCGCGACCCGAGCCCACAGCCUGGCGGCUGGGGUCGCCCUCGCCAUUGGCGGUCAGGGCGAGGUGCGGCCCUGCGGGUCUUGCCCAGGCUCCAGGGCCCUUGGGGUCCCGGAGGGUCCAGCAGAAGGGUCUGUGUUUUGCCCGGGGUCCUGAGAGCGUGCUGGGGAUAGCGGGGUGGAGUGCAGGUGUGCCCAUGGGCGCCCCGGGUCCAGGGCCCGCGGAGCCGCUCUCGGGGCGGAGACCUUGCCCCCAGGGCACGUCAGCGGUCCUGAGCUGAGGCUCCUGCAGAGCACUCUGGGCCGCGUGGUCUCUCCCUGCGUGGGCAGGCAGUGUC